GUCUCCAGCCACACCAGUGAAUGAACGCGAUCUCCUCUGAUCUCGGAAGCUAAGCAGGGUCGGGCCUGGUUAGUACUUGGAAGGGAGAGU
rnacentral:rRNA from 1 species